GGUCAGCGUCCCCUUCACUCGUACCUGUAGUGGUCGCGGCCCUCGGGGAGGACACCCCUGACAGCCAGGAGCGGGGCCGGACAUGGUACCAGGGCUGAUACUCUGCAGUAUGCUUUGUUCAGCUAUCAACGAGUCCUUCAGCUCCUCAUGUCAGCAUGUGACCUCCUCUGUUUUUAUUAAGGUCAAUAAGAUACCACUAUGUUACCAGUUUUCCAUAAAUGGGAAGCAGCCCUUGUUGAAGAUCAUUACAUUUGGAAAUAUUUGGAAAUAUUAAUGAGCAAAAUAAGUGAACCUUCUUACUGAAGAAGUUGAUUUUGGCAGAUCCCUUGGCUUCCUUGUUUGUCUUUUCAUCCAUCCUCUCAAAAUGUCCUCGUCCUACAUGGAAGAACUUCUGUAUAAAGGUAGGAUUUGGGCAAGUGCCAUUGCCCACUUCAUUCCAUGUUGCUUUCCUGAUAAGAAGGCAUUUAUGUCGCCACUAGUCUCAGUCUUCUUGGAAGUAUUUCCUGUACAUUGUCCACCAUUUUGACUUCUUGUCAUUAUUGUCAAAGUCCUGAAACAGCUAAAACUCCUCAAAGUUGUCUGUUGCUGGAGUGUGCAUUCUUCCUUAUAAAAUUUGUUUAUUUUUGGAUUGCUAUUUGAAAAUAAAUGUACAUGUUCUCUA